GACCUUUAUUUCCAGUGUAAAGGCCGGGGCUGUGUGAUCACAGCCCAGCUCUGUCAGGCCAUGGUGAAGUGGACAGUGCUGGUGUAGCUGGACUGCACGGCACCACUUCCCCUCGUUGGCACUGAUGUGAGAUCACAGGGACCUGAGACUCCGAUUGGGCAGCAGGCAGGAAUUAUUCUGCCAGCUGGCGGCCGUUGCCAGGAGCUGCAGCCUUUUUCUUGAACCAACAGCACUCACUCGUAGAACCACCAUUCCUCACUCCAGCAGACUAGCACAGCAAGAAAAUUAGCAGGAGCACAAAAAAAGAAAUCCACGUAUCUGUUUUUUUUUUUAUUAUUUAAAGAGUCAUUUCAGAGGCGGGGGGUGUGCAGGAAGCGAGAAGCGGGAGAGUCUCUGUGACGGCUGCACUGUUAACAAGGAUGUUUAUGUGCAUUUAAUUAAAAAAAAAAAAAGAAAUCCUGAAACAAAACAAAACCGGCAGAUGCAAAGCUGCCAAAGACGUGUUAAAUGAUUACCCAGGACGGGAAAAGUCAGGCACGCAGUACCUGGGACGGGUGCCAAGUGCCGACAAAAGACACCAGUGCAUGCUCAGAAGCAACGCUCUCAUUUCUGUUUUAAAGCAGCGAUCACUUAGAGUAGCUCAGCUUUAAUAUCUGCAGCACAGCUCCGGCGAACACGGGGCACAGAAACGUGUUGUGGAGUCCGCGCCCAAGCGCCGCCAUGACCCCCGUCAGCUUCAGCUAGCAGAGAUCCCCACCCGAGCGCUUCAAAAGCUGCACAGGAAUGGGCCUUUGCUGGGCCGGGUUGGCUCCAGUUAUGAUGCUGUCCUUGGGGCUGAGGUAGUAGAUUGAAUAGUUGUGGAGUAUGCGUUGUCCCUCUGAGAUAACUAUACAAUCUACUGUCUUUCCUAAGGAGACAGUCGAAUCGCCUGCCAACGAAGAAGGACUUCACAGCUCAGCGGCAUUUCGGUCAUUGCAGUCUUGUCUUAUUGCUUUGUAACUGAACUUGUAUGUAUUGUUAUGUUUGGACUGGGGGGGGGGGGGGGGGGGUUGUAAUGAUGUGAACAGCAGGGGCUGGCGUGAACCCCAUUAUUCUCAGAACGGGGGUCUUUAAAUCCUCUCCGGUACAGAAGGAUGAACAUGUAGUUCCAGGAUCAUUAAAAACAAUGAACUGUAAAAUCAUCUAUAUACCAGUAUUACUAUGUGUGGAAGCCUCGUCUGCAGCGAUCAUAGUGACUAGCUUAUUAAAGUGCUCCUCCUUUAUACCGUGGAGCCGUGUGUAAUGCAGCAUGGGUGAAGCUCCCCUUUGCCUCAAUGCCAGUACAAAAAAUAAACAAAUCAUUAACAAACAGCGAAGCUGUUAAUAGUUACUAAACCAAACCAGCUGACAAGGCAGAUACAAAGAGCUAGGUGUAUUUGAGCAUCACGUGGGAGUCCAGAGGGAAAGAACAGAAAUGCUGUUUAUAUUGUGGGCAGUCUGAGGGCACAAGGGCAGCUCCACUGGGCUGAGACUCGCCUCCCUGGUAACACUUUAUGCUGUGGCAUGUUGACGGUUCCGCUAGUUCUUCCAAUGCAUUGCUAUUACAAAGGGGCAGUCCUUGACUCCACCUGGAUGACAUCACAGUGGAUGAGCACCUGAAGGACACAUACCAGGCAGUGUCCAGGACUGAAGGAAGGUGUGGAGGCUGCAGUGUUCCCGCGGGGUGAGGUAGUAGGUUGUAUAGUUUGGUGGGAGGGAUAGUAUCCCAUUCAGGUGAUAACUAUACAGACUAUUGCCUUCCUUGAGGAGCUCACACACACAGAGAGCAGCAGCAGCAGCAGCAGCAGCAAGGGAACGAGCAGGAAGAAGGCCGUCUCCAACAGAGGACAACUCUCAUUGCUAGAAUGUUACUACAAUUAUUAUUAUGAUUAUUAUUAUUAAUAUUAUUGUAUUUGCAACGUGCAUUUUCAAUGCAAGGCAGAAUAAAUAAAUAUACAAACGUG